rnacentral:rRNA from 1 species
UACGGAAGAUCCAAGCGUUAUCCGGAAUUACUGGGCGUAAAGAGUUGCGUAGGUGGCAUAGUAAGUAGAUGGUGAAAUCCUGGGGCUCAACCCUUUAAACAUUAUCUAAACUGCUAAGCUAGAGGGCGAGAGAGGUAGCUAGAAUUCCUAGUGUAGGAGUGAAAUCCGUAGAUAUUAGGAGGAAUACCGAUGGCGUAGGCAGGCUACUGGCUCGUCCCUGACACUAAGGCACGAAAGCGUGGGGAGCGACCGGG